rnacentral:sRNA from 1 species
GACGUAUGACCUUAGCAGACAUUGAACGGAUUGCUCCUCUGGAAGAGGGAACUCUGCCCUUUAACUUGGCUGAGGCCCAGAGGCAGAAGGCCUCAGGUGAUUCAGCUCGACCAGUUCUUCUACAAGUUGCAGAGUCGGCCUACAGGUUUGGUCUGGGUUCUGUUGCUGGAGCUGUUGGAGCCACUGCUGUGUAUCCUAUCGAUCUUGUAAAAACUCGAAUGCAGAACCAACGAUCAACUGGCUCUUUUGUGGGAGAACUCAUGUAUAAAAACAGCUUUGACUGUUUUAAGAAAGUGCUACGCUAUGAAGGCUUCUUUGGACUGUAUAGAGGUCUGUUGCCACAGUUAUUGGGAGUUGCCCCAGAGAAGGCCAUAAAACUUACAGUGAACGAUUUUGUGAGGGAUAAAUUUAUGCACAAAGAUGGUUCGGUCCCACUUGCAGCAGAAAUUCUUGCUGGAGGCUGCAUCCUGCACAAGGGCAGAGUCUACUAGGGCACCUCGGCUUUUCCUAGACAGGCGAACCAUUCCAGAGGUGGAAGGG